UUAGUUAAUUAUUUUCUAAAUGAUAUUUAUUUUUAAUUCUUUUUAGAUGAGAAUAUUUUGGCUGAGGUGGAUAGUCUCAAAAGCCUUGAAUUUAGUCCCUUUUAUAUAGUAGGAUAUAUAUAUUAUUUUUUGUAUAUCAAAAACUUAUAUAUAGAGAACUUUUACAAUACAACUUAAUGAAAUGAUUAUGUGACAAAAAAAAAAUUUGGAAGAAUUCAAAACUAGGUGGAAGUCCAUACGGUUAAAUAUUUUUUAAUUGAUCAAGAGAUAUCUCAGAUUUAUAAAAAGAGUUCAUAUUAAUUUUAAAAGAAGGUACAAAUUACGGAUAUAUCUUUUUGGUAUGCAAAUGAACUGAAAACAUGGUUAGGGGGAAAUUUUACUUAUACACUUUUUAUGAUACCACUUUUCAACUUUACCAUCAAUCAAAAAGCAUUUUCAAAAAUACCACAUUCAUUAAUGUGUAAAAGACAAUAUUGCCCUUAACUUAUCUUCAACUCAUUUCUCUCUCUCUCUCGUGAAUCUCCGUCCGUCGUCUAUCGUCUCUGUUCAGAUCCGCUGUUUUCCGUUCAGAUCCGCCGUCUCCGUUCAGAUUCGCCGUCUAUUCGCCGUCUCUGUCCUCCAGAUCCACCGUCUCUGUCCUAAACCGACGUCUUCGUCCAGAUUCGUCGUCUUCGUCCAGAUCCACGAAGCAAUCGAGAUCGAGACUCAAAACUUCAAAUGUUGAAUCCUCAGCAAGAAUCACAACCUAUUGCAGAGUCUGUUUCUUUUAGCAGCGAUAAAAAGUAUGAUAUAACGCAAGUGAAGGCUCCAUCUCAGCUGCAGAAAACGAUGUGUUAAGUAACUCAAUCAACUAAAAGACAAUUUAGAAAGGCUUAUAAGACAGUUUAUAAAGUUUGUUAAAUAAUUUAUAAGGUUUAUAAAUUCUGCACAAUUUUGAAGUUAACUACGAGGUAUUGUGAUACUUCAACAGAGCUACCAGACAAGCCAAAACUGAUCAUCCAACGUUCAAAUAUGAAUUAUGUUGAAAAUGAUUUUUUGUAUUUUAGGUAAGGAGGAAUUUAGUGAAAUUGAGAAUUCACACCUUGCGGAAGUGUUGUAGAACUAGCUAGAAAGAAUAACAUUCAAUUUUCAGGAGAACCUUAUGCAAAUAAGAUUAUUGAUGAAUGGGGGUAGAUCUAUGGUUCACUUUCUCAUAUCAACCAAUGGGGUUAGAUCUAUGAUUAUUGAUGAAUGUAAAUAAUUUAUAAAAGUUUAUAAAAAACGUUAUGAAAGCAUACAUUCAAUUUAUAAGGGUAUUAUAUGAGUUCCAUAGGUUUAUAAAUCAACUAAAAGAGUCUAUAACCAUUUAGAAAGCCUUAUAAAACAAUUUAUAAUGGUUUGUAUAAUAAUUUAUAAGGGUUUAUAA